AGGGAGAUUGUUGGAUUCGUCUGACAUGAAACCGGCGCACGGGUGCGUAACACGUAUGCAACCUACCUUUAACUGGGGUAUAGCUCAGAGAAAUCUGAAUUAAUCCCCCAUAAGACUACGACAUGGCAUCAUGAUGUAGUUAAAGCUCCGGCGGUUAAGGAUGGGCAUGCGGUACAUUAGCUAGUUGGUGAGGUAAUGGCUCACCAAGGCUACGAUGUAUAGGGGGUCUGAGAGGAUGAUCCCCCACACUGGUACUGAGACACGGACCAGACUCCUACGGGAGGCAGCAGUAGGGAAUAUUGGUCAAUGGACGCAAGUCUGAACCAGCCAUGCCGCGUGAAGGAUGAAGGCCCUCUGGGUCGUAAACUUCUCUUAUUAGGGAAGAAAACAUGGGAUGCGUCCCAAACUGACGGUACUUAAUGAAUAAGGAUCGGCUAACUUCGUGCCAGCGGCCGCGGUAAGACGAAGGAUCCAAGCGUUGUCCGGAUUUACUGGGUUUAAAGGGUGCGUAGGCGGAAAAUUAAGUCAGUGGUGAAAGCCCGCAGCUCAACUGUGGAACUGCCAUUGAAACUGAUUUUCUUGAAUAUAGCUGAGGCAGAUGGAAUAUAACAUGUAGCGGUGAAAUGCUUAGAUAUGUUAUAGAACACCGAUUGCGAAGGCAGUCUGCUAAACUAUUAUUGACGCUGAGGCACGAAAGCGUGGGGAGCGAACAGGAUUAGAUACCCUGGUAGUCCACGCCCUAAACGUUGAUUACUCGCUGUUGGCGAUAUACUGUCAGUGGCUAAGCGAAAGCGUUAAGUAAUCCACCUGGGAAGUACGACCGCAAGGUUGAAACUCAAAGGAAUUGACGGGGGCCCGCACAAGCGGAGGAGCAUGUGGUUUAAUUCGAUGAUACGCGAGAAACCUUACCUGGGCUUAAAUGUC
rnacentral:rRNA from 1 species